UACGUAGGGUGCGAGCGUUGUCCGGAAUUAUUGGGCGUAAAGAGCUCGUAGGCGGUUUGUCGCGUCUGCCGUGAAAGUCCGGGGCUCAACUCCGGAUCUGCGGUGGGUACGGGCAGACUAGAGUGAUGUAGGGGAGACUGGAAUUCCUGGUGUAGCGGUGAAAUGCGCAGAUAUCAGGAGGAACACCGGUGGCGAAGGCGGAUCUCUGGGCCAUUACUGACGCUGAGGAGCGAAAGCGUGGGGAGCGAACAGG
rnacentral:rRNA from 1 species